rnacentral:rRNA from 1 species
AUUGAACGCUAGCGGGAUGCUUUACACAUGCAAGUCGAACGAGUGGCGGACGGGUGAGUAAUAUAUCGGAACGUGCCCAGUAGCUGGGGAUAACUACUCGAAAGAGUGGCUAAUACAGCAUACUAUUGGAGAGACCGAGAUCGGAUUAGCUAGUUGGUGGGGUAAAGGCUCACCAAGGCAACGAUCCGUAGCUGGUUUGAGAGGACGACCAGCCACACUGGGACUGAGACACGGCCCAGACUCCUACGGGAGGCAGCAGGGGGGAAUCUUGGACAAGGGGGGAAACCCUGACCCAGCCAUCCCGCGUGUAUGAGAAGGCCUUCGGGUUGUAAAGUACUUUUUGCAGAGAAGCGGUAUCUGCAGAAUAAACACCGGCUAACUACGUGCCAGCAGCCGCGGUAAUUC